rnacentral:rRNA from 1 species
AUUUAAAGUCUAAUCUGCCCACUGAAAUAUUUUGAAUGGCCGCGGUAAUUUGACCGUGCAAAGGUAGCAUAAUCAAUAGUUUUUUAAUUGAAAGCUGGAAUGAAUGAUUGAAUGAGAGAAUUACUGUCUCAGUCUAAAUUUUUUAGAAUUUUAUUUUUAAGUUAAAAAGCUUAAAUAUAAUUAAAAGACGAGAAGACCCUAUAGAGUUUUAUAUUUUAUUAUAAAAAUUUAAUUUAAGGUUUAAAAUUAAGUAUUAUUAUAAAGUAUUUUGUUGGGGUGAUAGAAAAAUUAAAGUAACUUUUUUUUUAUUAUAACAUUAAUUUAUGGUUUAAUGAUCCAAUUAUUUUGAUUAUAAGAAUAAAUUACCUUAGGGAUAACAGCGUAAUUUUUUUUGAGAGUUCUUAUCGAAAAAAAAGAUUGCGACCUCGAUGUUGGAUUAAAAUUUAUUUUUGGUGUAGAAGCUAAAAAAUUAAGUCUGUUCGACUUUUAAAAUUUUACAUGAUCUGAGUUUAAAUCGGUGUGAGCCAGAUUGGUUUCUAUCUUUAAUAAAAUAAAAUAUUUUAGUACGAAAGGACCAAAUAUUUAAUUAAUAAUUUAAAAUUGAAUUAUAUUGUUAUUUUGGCAGAAUAGUGCAAUAGAUUUAGAAUCUUUUUAUGUAAUUUAAUUACAAAUAAUACUUGUAUAAGGAUAUAUUAAUAAAUUUUAUUUCUUUAAUUAUUUUAUUAGUUUUUGUUUUAAUCGGGGUGGCUUUUUUAACAUUAUUAGAACGUAAGGUUUU